GCCCGGUUAGCUCAAUCGGUAGAGCGUGAGACUCUUACCAUCGCCGUAAUCUCAAGGUUGCGGGUUCGACCCCCGCAUCGGGCU
rnacentral:tRNA from 3 species